rnacentral:rRNA from 1 species
UCGCCUGUUUAUCAAAAACAUUGCUCUCUGACCCCCCAUAAAGAGUACCUCUGCCCAGUGAUUAAUUUUCAACGGCCGCAGUACACUGACUGUGCUAAGGUAGCACAAUAAUGAGCCUCCUAAUUAGGGGAUAGAAUGAAUGAACAAACACAGAAUAACCUGUCUCCCCUACAAAACUAUAAAUUUAUCUUCAAGUGAAAAAGCUUGAAUAUAAUCAAAAGACAAAAAGUCCCUCGAAGCUUUCUCUAAUCUACUAACCCUAACCUAGCCUAGAUUUAGUUGGGGCGACACAGAAUAAAAACAUACCCUCCCCCACGGAAUAUAAUCCCCCCGUCUCACCUACCCCCCACAAAAUUAAACAAGCUACCCCAGGGAUAACAGGCUAAUAUUUCCCGAGAGUACACAUUAACGGAAAUGUUUGGCACCUCGAUGUUGGCUUUGGGUGUCCAUCUUAUGGAGAAAUAAGAUCCGAGGGUUUGUUCAACCCCUAAUCCCCUACAUGAUCUGAGUUCAAACCGGAGA